rnacentral:rRNA from 1 species
UACGAAGGGUGCGAGCGUUAUUCGGAUUUAUUGGGCGUAAAGGGUUCGUAGGCGGGAGAUCAAGUCAAGUGUGAAAUAUCCGGGCUUAACCUGGAAAGUGCAUUUGAAACUGGUUUUCUUGAGUGUUGAAGAGGGUGGUGGAAUUGCUGGUGUAGGAGUGACAUCCGUAGAGAUCAGCAGGAACAUCGGAGGCGAAGGCGGCCACCUGGUCAAUCACUGACGCUGAGGAACGAAAGCAUGGGGAGCAAACAGG